AGAAAGGUCACCGUGCAGCUGAUUACUCAGAGCUCAGUUGCUGUAGCAACCGGCGGGGGAAGUGGGACGGGCGGGCUUUGAGGACGCGUGGGGUCGGCCGCGGGCGGCGGCAGCCGGCGCGGGCCUCGGCGCUCCUGCGGGAGGGAGGCUGCGGCGGCCCGGCUCCGGGCUCUCGUUGCUAACGAAGCCCUGCGCCCCUCUCGCACCCUCCCCGCCCCCGUCCCACCUCCCUGGGGGCCGGAAGGGAGUUCGCCCCUCCCCGGUUCGGCUGCUUCCCGCUCCCCGGUUCCCGCCCCGUCUGUCUCUCCCCCUCUUCCAGGGCUGCCAUGGCUUCUGUCUCUCUCCUCUCUCGGAGCCCAGGGGGACCGGCCCCUUCCCAGCACGCACACCCCUGCACCGGCUUGGAGAGUGACUGGCUCAACAGUUUGUGGUACAUCCCCAAAUGGCACAACCUCAGUAGUAAGAAGAAAGAAGUCCUGAUACACACCACAACACACGCAGCAAUCUCAGGGUCGUGAUGCUGUGAGAGGAGCCAGGCCACAAAGAAUGCAUACUGUGUGAAUUCAUUUCUAGAACAUGCAAACUUACUUUUGGUGACAGAAAGUUCUGUAGUUGCCUGGGGAUCAAUGGGGCCAGGAAGUCUCACAAAGGGGCCCAAGAAAACUUGGGCAAUGGUGGAUGUGUUCACUGUCUUGAUGGUAGUGACAGUUUUAUGAGUGUAUAUGUAUACAUAUGCCCAAACCCAUCAAAUUGUGCACUUCAAAUAUGUGCAGUUAUUGUAUAUCCAUUAUACCUCAGUAAACUGAAAAAUCAAA